GACGAACGCUGGCGGCGUGCUUAGCACAUGCAAGUCGAACGGAAAGGCCUCUUUCGGGGGGUACUCGAGUGGCGAACGGGUGAGUAACACGUGAGUAACCUGCCCUUGACUUUGGGAUAACUUCAGGAAACUGGGGCUAAUACCGGAUAGGAGCUCCUGCUGCAUGGUGGGGGUUGGAAAGUUUCGGCGGUUGGGGAUGGACUCGCGGCUUAUCAGCUUGUUGGUGGGGUAGUGGCUUACCAAGGCUUUGACGGGUAGCCGGCCUGAGAGGGUGACCGGCCACAUUGGGACUGAGAUACGGCCCAGACUCCUACGGGAGGCAGCAGUGGGGAAUAUUGCACAAUGGGUGGAAGCCUGAUGCAGCAACGCCGUGUGCGGGAUGACGGCCUUCGGGUUGGAAACCGCUUUCGCUCAUGACGAAGCUUUGUGUGACGGUAGUGGGUAAAGAAGCACCGGCUAACUACGUG
rnacentral:rRNA from 1 species